UGGGGAAUUUUGGACAAUGGGCGAAAGCCUGAUGCAGCAACGCCGCGUGAGUGAUGAAGGCCUUAGGGUUGUAAAGCUCUUUCAGCUGGGAAGAUAAUGACGGUACCAGCAGAAGAAGCCCCGGCUAACUCCGUGCCAGCAGCCGCGGUAAUACGGAGGGGGCUAGCGUUGUUCGGAAUUACUGGGCGUAAAGCGCACGUAGGCGGAUUAGUCAGUCAGAGGUGAAAUCCCAGGGCUCAACCCUGGAACUGCCUUUGAUACUGCUAGUCUUGAGGUCGAGAGAGGUGAGUGGAAUUCCGAGUGUAGAGGUGAAAUUCGUAGAUAUUCGGAGGAACACCAGUGGCGAAGGCGGCUCACUGGCUCGAUACUGACGCUGAGGUGCGAAAGCGUGGGGGAGCAAACAGGAUUAGAUACCCUGGUAGUCCACGCCGUAAACGAUGAAUGCCAGUCGUCGGGUUGCAUGCAAUUCGGUGACACA
rnacentral:rRNA from 1 species